GGCUUCAUGGUCAAGUGGUAAGAACACUUGCCUGCCACCCUGGAGUCACGGGUUCGCUCCCCGGUCGAAGAGCUA